rfam:Clethrionomys glareolus prion protein (PrP) gene, partial cds.
CCAUGGCGGUGGCUGGGGACAGCCUCACGGUGGUGGUUGG